rnacentral:rRNA from 1 species
UACGUAGGGGGCAAGCGUUGUCCGGAUUUAUUGGGCGUAAAGAGCGUGUAGGCGGUUCGGUAGGUCCGUUGUGAAAACUCGAGGCUCAACCUCGAGACGCCGAUGGAAACCCCCGAACUAGAGUCCGGAAGAGGAGAGUGGAAUUCAUGGUGUAGCAGUGAAAUGCGUAGAGAUCAUGAGGAAGACCAGUGGCGAAGGCGGGUCUCUGGACAGUUCCUGACACUGAGACACGAAGGCCAGGGGAGCAAACAGG